GACGAACGCUGGCGGCGUGCUUAACACAUGCAAGUCGAACGGAAAGGCCCGGCUUUUGUUGGUUGCUCGAGUGGCGAACGGGUGAGUAACACGUGAGUAACCUGCCCUUGACUUUGGGAUAACUUCAGGAAACUGGGGCUAAUACCGGAGAGGAGCGCCUGCUGCAUGGUGGGGUUUGGAAAGUUUCGGCCGUUGGGGGUGGACUCGCGGCUUAUCAGCUUGUUGGUGGGGGAGUGGCUUACCAGGGCUUUGACGGGUAGCCGGCCUGAGAGGGUGAACGCCCACAUUGGGACUGCGAUAGGGAGCAGACUCGUACGGGAGGCAGCAGGGGGGAAUAUUGCACAGUGGGCGGACGCCUGAUGCAGAAACGCCGCGUGCGGGAUGACGGCCUUCGGGUUGUGAACCGCUUUCGCCUGUGACGAAGCGUGAGUGACGGUAAUGGGUAAAGAAGCACCGGCUAACUACGUG
rnacentral:rRNA from 1 species